rnacentral:piRNA from 1 species
GCAACUUUCCAAUUGUGACCAAAAAAAGUGU